GCGUCCCAGUUCGGAUUGUAGACUGCAACCCGUCUGCAUGAAGCUGGAAUCGCUAGUAAUCGCGGAUCAGAAUGCCGCGGUGAAUACGUUCCCGGGUCUUGUACACACCGCCCGUCACACCAUGGGAGUUGGAAAUGCCCGAAGUCAGUGGCCCAACCGUAAGGAGGACGCCGCCGAAGGUGGGGUUGAUGAUUAGGGUUAAGUCGUAACAAGGUAUC
rnacentral:rRNA from 1 species